GACGAACGCUGGCGGCGUGCCUAAUACAUGCAAGUAGAACGCUGAAGGAGGAGCUUGCUCUUCUGGAUGAGUUGCGAACGGGUGAGUAACGCGUAGGUAACCUGCCUGGUAGCGGGGGAUAACUAUUGGAAACGAUAGCUAAUACCGCAUAACAGUAGAUGUUGCAUGACAUUUGCUUAAAAGGUGCAAUUGCACCACUACCAGAUGGACCUGCGUUGUAUUAGCUAGUUGGUGGGGUAACGGCUCACCAAGGCGACGAUACAUAGCCGACCUGAGAGGGGGGGCAGCCAGACUGGGACUGAGACACGGCCCAGACUCAUACGGGAGGGAGCAGUAGGGCAUCUGCGGCAAUGGACGGAAGUCUGACCGAGCAACGCGGCGGGAGGGAAGAAGGUCGUCGGAUCGUAAAGCUCUGUUGUAAGGGAAGAACGAGUGUGAGAGUGGAAAGUUGACACUGUGACGGUAACUGACAAGAAAGGGACGGCUAACUACGUG
rnacentral:rRNA from 1 species